AGGGGUGUAGCUCAAUUGGUAGAGUAGCGGUCUCCAAAACCGUUGGUUGUAGGUUCGAGUCCUGUCACCCCUGCCA
rnacentral:tRNA from 1 species